GACAAUCACCAGCUGAAUUCCAGAAGCCCUGUUCAUGUGUGGGGAUAUUUUUUCGACUGCAUGGAAUCAGAAAGAAGCAAAAGGAUGGGAAAUGCCUGCAUCCCCCUGAAAAGAAUUGCUUAUUGCCUAUGUCUCUUAUCUGCGCUUUUGCUGACUGAGGGGAAGAAACCAGCGAAGCCAAAAUGCCCUGCUGUGUGCACUUGUACCAAAGAUAACGCUUUAUGUGAGAAUGCCAGAUCCAU
rnacentral:lncRNA from 1 species